UACGUAGGGUGCGAGCGUUGUCCGAAGUUACUGGGCGUAAAGCGCGCGUAGGCGGGCCAUUAAGUGAGAGGUGAAAUUCCAGGGCUCAACCCCGGAACUGCCUCUCAUACUGUUGGUCUUGAGUGAGGUAGAGAGAAGUGGAAUGGCUGGUGUAGCGGUGAAAUGCGUAGAUAUCAGUCGGAACACCGGUGGCGAAGGCGGCUUCUUGGGCCUUUACUGACGCUGAGGCGCGAAAGCCAGGGGAGCGAACGGG
rnacentral:rRNA from 1 species